AUUGAACGCUGGCGGCAGGCCUAACACAUGCAAGUCGAACGAGUGGCGGACGGGUGAGUAAUGUAUGGGAAACUGCCUGAUGGAGGGGGAUAACUACUGGAAACGGUAGCUAAUACCGCAUACCAUCAGAUGGGCCCAGAUGGGCUUAGCUUGUUGGUGGGGUAACGGCUCACCAAGGCGACGCUCCCUAGCUGGUCUGAGAGGAUGACCAGCCACACUGGGACUGAGACACGGCCCAGACUCGUACGGGAGGCAGCAGUGGGGAAUAUUGCACAAUGGGCGCAAGCCUGAUGCAGCCAUGCCGCGUGUAUGAAGAAGGCCUUCGGGUUGUAAAGUACUUUCGGCGGGGAGGCGGUACCCGCAGAAGAAGCACCGGCUAACUCCGUGCCAGCAGCCGCGGUAAUUG
rnacentral:rRNA from 1 species